GCGCAGGCGCUGCGCACACAGUAUCUCCUGCGACCCCGCGACCCUGCUGGUGGCAACACUGGCGCCCCGGCCUCCACCGACGGCGCAGAUAAAGGUCCCUACCCUGCGGAAAUGACGGUGGGGAGUAGCCAAGCCCGGGAGACCCGGAUGAGUAUGGACCCUGGCAGGCUCAGCUAGCUUUGACUGUUGUUAUUCCCAUAAGUAUGAUACUGAUCUGCAUCAAACCACAUAAUAAGUAUACUGGACUCUACAAAAUCUAUGUCUACAACUUUGGAAUUUCUGACAUGUAAAGAAGGAUUUCUAGUGGGAGAAGAAGCUCAGAACUUGGAAGACAUUUCAGAAUCCUGAAAAUCAAUACUAGACAGUCUAUUUUGCAUAAUAAAGGCAGAAUUCACCUGGAGAAGACUGUGAUUCAUAUUGCUAUUUAACUUGUAUAUUGUUUGGGUCAGGGAAUUGUCUCCAAAAUUGACAUGUAUAAGGAUGAAUAUUCUUAUUUUUAAUAAA